UCCGCUUCAAUCUCUUCAGUUUGUCAUAUUGUUGAGCGCUGAAGGUUGGUACUUGUACGGACUGGAUGAGCAGCGACGGGUGAGUAAUGCGAGGGGAAUCUGCCUUUGAGCGGGGGAGGCAUUUGGAAACUUAUGCUAAUACCGCAUAUAAACUUUAAACACAAGUUUUAAGUUUGAAAGAUGCUAUUGCAUCACUCAAAGAUGAACCCGCGUUGUAUUAGCUAAUUGGUGAGGUAAAGGCUCACCAUGGCGAUGAUACGUAACCGACCUGAGAGGGUGAUCGGCCACAUUGGGACUGAAACACGGCCCAAACUCCUACGGGAGGCUUUUGUACGGAAUCUUCAGCAAUGGACCAAAGUCUGCACCGAGCAACGCCGCGUGAGUGAAGAAGGUUAUCGGAUCGUAAAACUCUGUUGGUACAGAAGAACGUUGGCGAGAGUGGAAGAGCUCAUCAAGUGACGGUACUACCCAUAAAGGGACGGCUAACUACGUGCCAGCACGCCGCGGUGAAUACGUAUGUCCGAGCGUUGUCCGGAUUUAUUGGGCGUAAAGCGAGCGCAGGUGGUUUAUUAAGUCUGGUGUAAAAGGCAGUGGCUCAGACCAUUUGGACUGCAUUGGCAUACUGUUAGACUUGAGUGCAGGAGAGGAGAGUGGAAUUCCAUGUGUAGCGGUGAAAUGCGUAGAUAUAUGGAGGAACACCGGUGGCGAAAGCGGCUCUCUGGCCUGUAACUGACACUGAGGCUCGAAAGCGUGGGGAGCAAACAGGAUUAGAUACCCUGGUAGUCCACGCCGUAAAUGAUGAGUGUUAGAUGUAGGGAGCUAUAACUUCUCUGUAUCGCAGCUAACGCAAUAAGCACUCCGCCUCGGGAGUACGACCGCAAGGUUGAAACUCAAAGGAAUUGACGGGGGCCCGCACAAGCGGUGGAGCAUGUGGUUUAAUUAGAAGCAACGCGAAGAACCUUACCAGGUCUUGACAUCAUCGUGCUAUUCCUAGAGAUAGGAAGUUCCUUCGGGACACGGGAUACAGGUGGUGCAUGGUUGUCGUCAGCUCGUGUCGUGAGAUGUUGGGUUAAGUCCCGCAACGAGCGCAACCCCUAUUGUUAGUUGCCAUCAUUAAGUUGGGCACUCUAACGAGACUGCCGGUGAUAAACCGGAGGAAGGUGGGGAUGACGUCAAAUCAUCAUGCCCCUUAUGACCUGGGCUACACACGUCAUACAAUGGAUGGUACAACGAGUCGCGAGACAGUGAUGUUUAGCUAAUCUCUUAAAACCAUUCUCAGUUCGGAUUGUAGUCUGCAACUCGCGUACAUGAAGUCGGAAUCGCUAGUAAUCGCGGAUCAGCACGCCGCGGUGAAUACGUUCCCGGGCCUUGUACACACCGCCCGUCACACCACGGGAGUUGGGAGUACCCGAAGUAGGUAGCCUAACCGCAAGGAGGGCGCUUCCUAAGGUAAGACCGAUGACUGUAGGUAGACGCAAAAAGGCAUGCAUACCAGCGUACU
rnacentral:rRNA from 1 species